rnacentral:rRNA from 1 species
UACGAGGGGGGCGAGCGUUGUUCGGAAUUAUUGGGCGUAAAGGGUGCGUAGGCGGCCUGACAAGUCUGAUGUGAAAUCCUGGAGCUCAACUCCAGAACUGCCUUUGAUACUGAGAAGCUUGAGUCCGGGAGAGGUGAGUGGAACUGCGAGUGUAGAGGUGAAAUUCGUAGAUAUUCGCAAGAACACCAGUGGCGAAGGCGGCUCACUGGCCCGGUACUGACGCUGAGGUGCGAAAGCGUGGGGAGCAAACAGG